CAUGUGGCCCUGCACGGCAGGCAGUAUCCUCCUCCCCCAGGCUAUAAGUAUAUGUGGCUAAUAAAGUGCUGUCGCUCUCAUCUGUCCAGUGUCGGGUGUCAGGUGUUCAGCCAUCCCCAUAAUCCUAGAGCAAGAAGCUCUCCCUCACCAACGGGCUGAAGAGGAGGUGAUUAAAACAGCUAUGCUCACACCACUCCUGAAGUGAAUCCCAUGGGCAUUAGUUCUUGUGCCCCCUUUUCAGCACUCCUAAGCCACACCUGUUCCUGCAGAUUUUUAACUGCUUCUGCCGCCCUCCUGGAGCGCUAUGUGCUGCACUGCCCUGCACCUUCCCACCUCCAGUUCUUCACGCUCCGCAAGUCACCGACUCUUACAAUACGAGCAACAGUGACAUGGGAGAGAUUCAGAAACAACUUCUUCAAGUGUCUGCAGUGGGCCUUGACGUGCUGUCAGAAGCUGUGAAGAGGAAAGAAUACCCCUCCUGUGUUGCAUCUGCUGAUGGUGGUGGAUUCCUCCCAUAUUUUAGGAAAAACGCUGUUUGUGCUGAGCAAACUUUGAGUCAUGUCAAUAAAGCCAGCCUUGGGAGUGGAGUCUUCUGAAGAACU